GUGGGGAAUCUUAGACAAUGGGCGCAAGCCUGAUCUAGCCAUGCCGCGUGAGCGAUGAAGGCCUUAGGGUUGUAAAGCUCUUUCGCUGGGGAAGAUAAUGACUGUACCCAGUAAAGAAGCCCCGGCUAACUCCGUGCCAGCAGCCGCGGUAAUACGGAGGGGGCUAGCGUUGUUCGGAAUUACUGGGCGUAAAGCGCGCGUAGGCGGAUUGGAAAGUUGGGGGUGAAAUCCCGGGGCUCAACCUCGGAACUGCCUUCAAAACUCCCAGUCUUGAGCUCGAGAGAGGUGAGUGGAAUUCCGAGUGUAGAGGUGAAAUUCGUAGAUAUUCGGAGGAACACCAGUGGCGAAGGCGGCUCACUGGCUCGAUACUGACGCUGAGGUGCGAAAGCGUGGGGAGCAAACAGGAUUAGAAACCCGAGUAGUCC
rnacentral:rRNA from 1 species